GUUGCUCUCCCAACCCAUGUUUGAAUAACGGGACAUGUGUGCAGGAACUGCAGAACUUUACAUGUGAAUGUCUGCCAGGAUUUUCUGGUGAAAACUGUUUGAAUAACGGGACAUGUGUACAGGAACUGCGGAACAAUACAUGUGAAUGUCUGUCAGGGUUUUCUGAUGAAAACUGUUUGAAGAACGGGACAUGUGUGCAGGAACUGUUGAACUAUACAUGUGAAUGUCCGCCAGGAUUUUCUGGUGAAAACUGCGAGAAAGACAGUUGUUCACCCAACCCCUGUUUAAAUGAAGGAAAAUGUGUACAGGAACUGGUGAACUAUACAUGUGAAUGUCCGCCUGGGUUUUCUGGUGAAAACUGUGAGAAAGACAGUUGCUCACCCAACCCUUGUUUGAAUGAAGGGAUAUGUGUGCUGGAACUGCUGGACUAUACAUGUGAAUGUCCGCCAGGAUUUUCUGGUGAAAACUGCGAGAAAGGUAUCUAAUAGUUAUUACUCCAUCUUUAAUAAAGCUUCCAUAUCUUUCUUUUUAGGAACUCCCGCCAUAAGAGCUUUUAAUAAUAAGCGCUGUAAAACGCUAGAAUAGUAAAAACUUUAAAGACAAACUGUUUUGUGCCUUCCUAUGAUUGCACCAAAUGUUUGAUCCAUACAUGUGUAGCAAUG